ACGGAGGGUGCAAGCGUUGUCCGGAUUUAUUGGGUUUAAAGGGUGCGUAGGCGGGAUAUUAAGUCAGUGGUGAAAGCCCACAGCUCAACUGUGGAACUGCCAUUGAUACUGGUAUUCUUGAGUAUGGAUGAGGUAAGCGGAAUUUAUGGUGUAGCGGUGAAAUGCAUAGAUACCAUAAAGAACACCGAUAGCGAAGGCAGCUUACCGGGCCAUAACUGACGCUGAGGCACGAAAGCGUGGGGAGCGAACAGG
rnacentral:rRNA from 1 species